rnacentral:rRNA from 1 species
UACGGAGGGUGCGAGCGUUGUCCGGAAUCACUGGGCGUAAAGCGCGCGUAGGCGGGUCACUAAGUCAGGGGUGAAAUCCUGGAGCUCAACUCCAGAACUGCCUUUGAUACUGAAGAUCUUGAGUUCGGGAGAGGUGAGUGGAACUGCGAGUGUAGAGGUGAAAUUCGUAGAUAUUCGCAAGAACACCAGUGGCGAAGGCGGCUCACUGGCCCGAUACUGACGCUGAGGCACGAAAGCGUGGGGAGCAAACAGG